rnacentral:rRNA from 1 species
GAUCCUGGCUCAGAACGAACGCUGGUGGCGUGCUUAUACAUGCAAGUCGAGCGAGGCAGCAAUGCCGAGCGGCGAACGGGUGAGUAACGCGUAAGCAAUCUGCCCCAUAUCAGGAAAUACCCGUGCCAACGCGCGGUUAAUGUCCAGGAGAGUGGCCCUCGCAUGGAGGGUUGACUAGAGAUUUAUCGGUAUGGGAUGAGCUUGCGUCCGAUUAGCUAGUUGGCGGGGCAACGGCCCACCAAGGCGACGAUCGGUAGCCGGCCUGAGAGGGUGAUCGGCCACAUUGGGACUGAGAUACGGCCCAGACUCCUACGGGAGGCAGCAGUAGGGAAUAUUGCACAAUGGGGGAAACCCUGAUGCAGCAACGCCACGUGUGGGAAGAAGCAUUUCGGUGUGUAAACCACUGUCAUGAGGGAAUAAGGCCCGCCUUCGGACGGGAUUGAAUGUACCUUGAGAGGAAGCACCGGCAAACUUCGUGCCAGCAGCCGC